AUCACACCUUAAAGAAGAUGGUGACAAAACUCUGUCAGGUAACAGAUUUAACCUGGGAUAAAGUUUUGCCCAUUGCCUUACUCCAGGUCAGAAUAGUACUGCAAAGGGAGCUUUGGUUGAGCCCUUUAAAAUUAAUUUAUAAGAAACUCCUCCAGAAUUGCUGGGAAUUCCACCUUUAGAUCUAGUAAACGAAUCAAGAAUUAAGCAAUAUGUACAACAGUUGGGGCACACAUUACUAAUGAUGCAUCUACUCUUUCCAGGGCCUCAUAUCCCAUGGAUGAACCUCUUCACCUUUUCUGCCCAGGGAAUAUGGUGCUACUACAGUCCUGCAAAAACCAACGGCCAGACCAGCAGCUAGCCAAAGAGUGGACAGGACUUCAUAAGGUGCUGCUGACCACUCAUUUCUCUGAGAAACAGGCUGGAAUCAAGCCAUGGUUACCACAUAUUCAGAUAAAGACAGCUCCUCCUCAACCCAAUACCUCAUACAACCAGCCCACUUCGUCAGGUGAGCCAAGAGAAGAUCUAAAGUUCCUAACAAAGAAAAAUCAGAUAGAUAAGUAGUACCCUUCUGUUACCAUGAAGUUCUUAAUUAAUUUUAUAGUCAUAAGUACAUUCUUUAUCUUUCUUAAAGCUAACAUUUUCACUGAAUGGGCCAGAUGGCGGCUUCCCUCCAGAAUUAAGAAAUACUGUUGGGUCUAAGGGAAACUACCAUUUUUUUUUCCACCAUAGGCUGUUUAUGGUGCAUACAAGCCAUUAAUGGGAGAACUUGGAGUUAUUUUUAUACUUAGGAUGAGAGUUCUCAUUUAUUUCCCUUCUAUAAUUACAGUACCACUCACCAUGAGUUCCCCACCUUUGAGGAAACAAAGAAACAUCUUUUUCAUCUGGUCUGUAAACGAGUUAAUGUCACUCCCACCAUAAGUUAUGCCACACAUGAUGGCAUAGGAUGUCUAACAGCAGUGCAAAUACAGAUCAAUAUACUAGUGCGAUGCAAAAAUAAUUAUCAAAGUAAGAUGUUUUGUGGAAAGUUAUCUCGGGGUAAAUGCUGCAGCUGCAAAUGCUGCUGGUGAGUAUUCUUGGGGCAAACAGCAAAUGGGUUAGAGAAUAAUAAAGAGAAGACAACAGCAAUGCUUUCCAGAAGGUAGUCUAGGCACAGCUUCAGAUAACUGAGCCACACCAAUUUGAGACCUG
rnacentral:lncRNA from 1 species